GUCCAGCUCAGCCCGUCUUCAAGUGGAGAGAAGCCGCCACGUGGCCCCAUUGGUUGCUUCUGACGAAUCAGGGGAAAGGAAGAAGUAGAAGACGAAUGUGCACGUGACGUCAUCUGGCCCCGAGAUCGCCCACCGGUCUUGCCAAUGGACCUCAAACUCAGAGAAACCCGGGGAGGAGCACUCUUUGCCGUAGGAACCAAGGGAUGCAGCUGUGUUGAGAACAUACUAGAGGAAAGCAGAGGUCAAGCAGGCGGACGCACAACAGAAAGGCUGGUGGGAGGCUGCUGACACGUGCUCUCGUGUGUAAACACAAGGAGGCGGCAGAAUUGGAGGCGGCUGGGCACCUGAAGUGAGCCUGCAGCUUGGAGUGACCCGGGGCAGGAGGGCCAAACCCCAGCUCUGCCCUUCAGCCCCACACAGACAGGAUUGAGCAGAAGGACCGGUUUGGAAGCGUCCCCUGAGACAGGAGGGACGGUGGGCGAUCUCCCUUCUCUCUGGGGCUGGAGGUUCACCGGGUCACCUUCGAGCCUGCAUCAGUGCCAUCACCAAGAGCACCUGGCCUACUCCCCGCCAGCCCACGGCGUUCGGAACGAACGGGGAGUCGCCCUUCUGAGUUCUGAGAUUUUCCGCUCAUAGGCAACCAGGGAAAACUUUUGGAGCCAAGGUGCAGUAUCGGCCUCCCACCCAACCGUCCCAUCCCCACACUGGAUGCUGGCAUUGUUCUCCGUGUCUCUGGGCACCUCGUGCCAGCACCUCACCAACCAAAACAGAAAGAGUUGACUUGAGGGCCGGUCCCUUGAGCACAGGGAACCAAAUCAUGCCCCCAAAUCAUGGGCAGCAUGGCCACUAUGCCUUUGAGUUGAAGACAAACUCUGUGGGGUUGUGCUUCCAAAUCAGGAUCCAGGGGACAGAGUCCUGUCCUAUCUCCCCUGUAAGAUGAGACAGGGAGGCUCUGGUCCUACCCCAUUCCUCCACCGCCAGGGAGCCAGAGUCCCACACGGCCCGUCCUGUUCCUUCUAUGAUCUCACAGUUGUCCCUCCACAUUCCCCUCUCCCAUUCACCCAGCUCCAGCCUCCCAAUCCCUGCUGCCCUUCCGAAGCUGCCAGGCACGACCCCCUCGGGGACACUGCACCUGCUACUCCGUCAGUCCCCAGAUGUCUGCCCGGCUCACUCCCUCCCUUCCUGGGACUCCCCCCAAACAGUAUGUAGCCUUCCCGGCUGCCCUUCUCCUAUGCUCUGUACCCCCGACCCCUUCACCUCCUCUCAGGGCACAGGCCACCCUCUGAGACAUCCCCAAGCUCACCUACUCAUCCUGUCGACUGCCUGAACCCCUCCUCGUGCUAGAAUAUAAACUCCAGGAAGGCAAAGGUCUGUGACUGUUUUAACGGCUGUGUCCCAGCACCCAGGACAGCA